AAACAAACAAACCUUUCGGAACAUUCAGCGAUCAAAUAAAUGUAAACAAAACAGGCUGCUGUCAAAACAAAUAUUUUAUUUUGAAAUUUUGUUCAAAACAAUUACAUAUAUUCAAACAAUCAAAACAAUUUGGCCGUGAAUAUGGAAGAAAAAAAAAAUAAAAAAAGGAAACUGUGGGGGAGCCAGGAUGAGGAGUACCUGCUCGAACUCUGGGCUGAAAAGGAGUCUGAGCUGCGGGGCAACCUCAUCCCAGUACGAAGAAGAUGUAGAAACUCCGUCGGCCGAGUCUGCAUCUAGUUCAUCGCGGGCUACUCCGUCAAGGCUCCGGGCUGCAAAGAAAAGAAAAAAACUUUAACUCUAUUUUUUUUAAAUUGUUCCAAAAAUAAAGUUUUUAAAAUAAA